rnacentral:rRNA from 1 species
GAUGAACGCUGGCGGCAUGCUUAACACAUGCGAGUCGAACGGGAAGUGGUGUUUCCAGUGGCGAACGGGUGAGUAACGCGUAAGAACCUGCCCUUGGGAGGGGAACAACAACUGGAAACGGUUGCUAAUACCCCGUAGGCUGAGGAGCAAAAGGAGAAAUCCGCCCAAGGAGGGGCUCGCGUCUGAUUCUCUAGUUGGUGAGGUAAUAGCUUACCAAGGCGAUGAUCAGUAGCUGGUCCGAGAGGAUGAUCAGCCACACUGGGACUGAGACACGGCCCAGACUCCUACGGGAGGCAGCAGUGGGGAAUUUUCCGCAAUGGGCGAAAGCCUGACGGAGCAAUGCCGCGUGGAGGUGGAAGGCCUACGGGUCGUCAACUUCUUUUCUCGGAGAAGAAACAAUGACGGUAUCUGAGGAAUAAGCAUCGGCUAACUCUGU